rnacentral:lncRNA from 1 species
AUGGGUGGACAGGAGAACAUUACUACUUUCUUGGCUUUUUCCACCCAAACUGUUCCUCCUUUGUUCUUGCACAGAUUUAGCUGCCCUUAUCUCCUGAGGUGGGAAGCUUGCCAGCCUCACUGCAGCUCUCUGAUAUGGGUGAGAAAUCCUCACUGGAUUCCAGUCUGUUGCCUAAUGAAUAAUUGGUGUCUGUUUUUCAGGGAGAGCAUGGAAGGAGCAGACAUCUGGAUUGCCUGUGACCAGGACAAUGCGCAUGGAGUCCUCCCUGCAGGGACUCUUGCAGGGUCUGGGGGCCGCUCAUCUGGAGCUGCACAGUUGUACAUGGAGUGGUUGGUGACAUCACCUGCAGUGUAG